rnacentral:rRNA from 1 species
AAUCAACGCUGGCGGCGUGCCUAACACAUGCAAGUCGCACGAGAAAGGGCUUCGGCCUGAGUAAAGUGGCGCACGGGUGAGUAACACGUGAAUCAUCUACCCUCGAGUGGGGAAUAACCUAGAGAAAUCUGGGCUAAUACCGCAUAACACUUACGAGUCAAAGCAGCAAUGCGCUUGGGGAGGAGUUCACGGCCGAUUAACUAGUUGGCGGGGUAAUGGCCCACCAAGGCGAUGAUCAAUAUCCGGCCU